GCCUAGUUAGCUUAGUUGGUAGUGCAUCUGCUUUGUAAGCACUAGGCCAUGGGUUUGAUUCCCGCCUGGGGCA
rfam:Asian citrus Psyllid, Diaphorina citri - Florida Strain, whole genome shotgun sequence.